rnacentral:lncRNA from 1 species
UUUUCCAAAUAAAUAAUAGCGCAAACUUUAAAUAAUAUUUCUAUAAUUGUAUAUUUUUUUUAUUUUAUUAUAGUGUGAUUUAAAGUAUUUUAAUUUAGUAAUAUGUGCUUUUAUUUUUUAUUUUUCGUCCGCUCCUCCGUUAACAUUUCGUUAAAUUAUAUAUAAAAAAACUACAGAUAUCCUAUCUAAGUUUAUCAAAUAUUCACUUCAGUAUAUUUUAGUUUUAACUUUGUCAUUGAUUUAACGAAAAAAAUUAGUGAAAGAAAUAAUAAAAAGAGAAAAAUAAAACCACGGGUACUAAAUCGAUACACUUUAAACUACAUAGUACCAAAGUGAGAAAGUGUGAGAUCACGUGAGCAAUAUUUGAAGUUUUUUCUAAAUAAUAUGUGUAAAAUUAUUAAUGAUAAAUAACUAGUAAAACUAUUGUGGGUUAGUAACUAACAG